GCAGACACAUUCCAGCCAAUCAGCAGCAGACCCUCCCUCCCAGACCCUCCCACUUCCUGGACAGCAUCCAUUUUACAUUCAUUGUGAAGCUGCAUUCUUAGUGAGCUGUCCAGGAGGUGGGAGGGUCUGGGAGGGAGGGUCUGCUGCUGAUUGGCUGGAAUGUGUCUG